ensembl:snRNA U6 U6 spliceosomal RNA
CUUGCUUCUGCAGCAAGUACAGUAAAAACUGAAACUAUGUAGAAAAGAUUAGCAUGACCCCUGUGCAAGGAUGUCACACAAAUUGGUGAAGUAGCCCAUACUUUA